UCUCUCUUUGUCUGCCUAUUGUGAUAGUGACUGGGCUUCCUGGCCAGACACUAGGAGGUCUGUUUCUAGGUUUUGUAUUAUAUUGGGUGGCUCUCUUAUUGGUUGGAAGGCUAAGAAGCAGCCUGUGGUGUCCCUGUCUUCUGGUGAGGCUGAGUACAGGGCCAUCAGUACAGUUGUUGGUGAGCUCACCUGGCUUGUUAGACUUCUGUCUGACUUUGGUGUUCUUGUUCCCUCUGCUGUGCCUGUUUUUUGUGAUAAUAAACCUGGCUUGUUAGACUUCUAUCUGAUUUUGGUGUUCUUGUUACCUAUGUUGUGCCUGUUUUUUGUGAUAAUCGGGCAGCACUUCACAUUGCCAAGAAUCUUGUGUUUCACGAGCGGACCAAACACAUUGAAGUGGAUUACCAUUUCAUCAUAACGAAGCUUCAUGAGGGCCUUAUUGCCUUUCAUCAUGUUCCCACUGCCUCUCAGCUUGCUGAUAUUUUUACUAAGCCUUUGACAAGGCUUAUGCAUCACUCCAUAUUGCUCAAGCUGGGGGUUCAAUCACCCUCCACCUUGAAGGGAGAUGUUAGAGUUAGUGACUGCAGC
rnacentral:lncRNA from 1 species